rnacentral:RNase_P_RNA from 1 species
AGUCCCGGUGACGGGAAGGAAAGUGCAACAGAAAGGAAACCGCCUUCAUGUGGCUGUUUGGCUGCAUGGAGGUAAGGGUGAAAGGGUGAGGUAAGAGCUCACCGGUUCGGCGGCGACGUCGGAGGCUAUGCAAACCCCAUCCGGAGCAAGACCAAAUAGGGGAACAAUGGAGGGUGGUCCGCCCGAGUUCCCGGGUAGGUCGCUUGAUCUCGCGGGUAACUGCGAGACUAGAUGAAUGAUCAUUGUCCCGAUGGCGAGUGAUCGCUUCGGGAAACAGAACCCGGCUUAUGGCCUGCUUCGACAU